UACGGAGGGGGCUAGCGUUGUUCGGAAUUACUGGGCGUAAAGCGCACGUAGGCGGCUAUUCAAGUCAGAGGUGAAAGCCUGGAGCUCAACUCCAGAACUGCCUUUGAAACUAGAUAGCUAGAAUCAUGGAGAGGUCAGUGGAAUUCCGAGUGUAGAGGUGAAAUUCGUAGAUAUUCGGAAGAACACCAGUGGCGAAGGCGGCUGACUGGACAUGUAUUGACGCUGAGGUGCGAAAGCGUGGGGAGCAAACAGG
rnacentral:rRNA from 1 species